GCGUAUAUCGCGCGACACAUGAGGGCAGCAUUCAACAACAUAAACACGCGACUCUUGUAAAUCUGGCGCUCCCCGAAUUCUUCCCGACUGGCUGAAAACUUUCUUAUUACUGUGUUUUUGGUCCAACGUAAUAACACCAAAAUGGAUGAGAAGCAGGGAGCAACUUCUGAUGAUGUCCCAACUGGGGAGGUAACGUCAACCACAGUUACGGAGGGUGAUGUUGUCAAGAUGCCAACAGAUGUGGCCAUCACUAUGGAUGCUAUUCCCAAUCAAGAUAAAGAGGACAAAUCCAAAGGCCUCGACCCACAAGAUAACCAUUCCACCAGCACCUCUGACGUACCAGUGACUGGCGCUG